GUGAACGCUGGCGGUAGGCCUAACACAUGCAAGUCGAACGGCAGCACCGUAAGAGCUUGCUCUUACGGGUGGCGAGUGGCGGACGGGUGAGGAAUACAUCGGAAUCUACUUUUUCGUGGGGGAUAACGUAGGGAAACUUACGCUAAUACCGCAUACGACCUACGGGUGAAAGCAGGGGAUCUUCGGACCUUGCGCGAUUGAAUGAGCCGAUGUCGGAUUAGCUAGUUGGCGGGGUAAAGGCCCACCAAGGCGACGAUCCGUAGCUGGUCUGAGAGGAUGAUCAGCCACACUGGAACUGAGACACGGUCCAGACUCCUACGGGAGGCAGCAGUGGGGAAUAUUGGACAAUGGGCGCAAGCCUGAUCCAGCCAUACCGCGUGGGUGAAGAAGGCCUUCGGGUUGUAAAGCCCUUUUGUUGGGAAAGAAAAGCAGCAGGUUAAUACCCCGCUGUCCUGACGGUACCCAAAGAAUAAGCACCGGCUAACUUCGUG
rnacentral:rRNA from 1 species